AUUGAACGCUGGCGGCAGGCCUAACACAUGCAAGUCGAGCGGAUGAAGGGAGCUUGCUCCUGGAUUCAGCGGCGGACGGGUGAGUAAUGCCUAGGAAUCUGCCUGGUAGUGGGGGAUAACGUCCGGAAACGGGCGCUAAUACCGCAUACGUCCUGAGGGAGAAAGUGGGGGAUCUUCGGACCUCACGCUAUCAGAUGAGCCUAGGUCGGAUUAGCUAGUUGGUGGGGUAAAGGCCUACCAAGGCGACGAUCCGUAACUGGUCUGAGAGGAUGAUCAGUCACACUGGAACUGAGACACGGUCCAGACUCCUACGGGAGGCAGCAGUGGGGAAUAUUGGACGAUGGGCGAAAGCCUGAUCCAGCCAUGCCGCGUGUGUGAAGAAGGUCUUCGGAUUGUAAAGCACUUUAAGUUGGGAGGAAGGGCAGUAAGUUAAUACCUUGCUGUUUUGACGUUACCAACAGAAUAAGCGCCGGCUAACUUCGUG
rnacentral:rRNA from 1 species